rnacentral:rRNA from 1 species
CCUACGGGGGGCAGCAGUGGGGAAUAUUGCACAAUGGGCGCAAGCCUGAUGCAGCCAUGCCGCGUGUGUGAAGAAGGCCUUCGGGUUGUAAAGCACUUUCAGCGGGGAGGAAGGCGUUAAGGUUAAUAACCUUGUCGAUUGACGUUACCCGCAGAAGAAGCACCGGCUAACUCCGUGCCAGCAGCCGCGGUAAUACGGAGGGUGCAAGCGUUAAUCGGAAUUACUGGGCGUAAAGCGCACGCAGGCGGUCUGUCAAGUCGGAUGCGAAAUCCCCGGGCUCAACCUGGGAACUGCAUUCGAAACUGGCAGGCUAGAGUCGUGUAGAGGGGGGUAGAAUUCCAGGUGUAGCGGUGAAAUGCGUAGAGAUCUGGAGGAAUACCGGUGGCGAAGGCGGCCCCCUGGACAAAGACUGACGCUCAGGUGCGAAAGCGUGGGGAGCAAACAGGAUUAGAUACCCGAGUAGUC